UACGUAGGGUGCGAGCGUUGUCCGGAAUUAUUGGGCGUAAAGAGCUCGUAGGCGGUUCGUCACGUCGGCUGUGAAAACCUGAGGCUCAACCUCAGGCCUGCAGUCGAUACGGGCGGACUUGAGUACUGCAGGGGAGACUGGAAUUCCUGGUGUAGCGGUGAAAUGCGCAGAUAUCAGGAGGAACACCGGUGGCGAAGGCGGGUCUCUGGGCAGUAACUGACGCUGAGGAGCGAAAGCGUGGGGAGCGAACAGG
rnacentral:rRNA from 1 species